GAUGAACGCUGGCGGCGUGCCUAAUACAUGCAAGUCGAGCGAACAGAUGAGGAGCUUGCUCCUCUGACGUUAGCGGCGGACGGGUGAGUAACACGUGGAUAACCUACCUAUAAGACUGGGAUAACUUCGGGAAACCGGAGCUAAUACCGGAUAAUAUAUUGAACCGCAUGGUUCAAUAGUGAAAGACGGUUUUGCUGUCACUUAUAGAUGGAUCCGCGCCGCAUUAGCUAGUUGGUAAGGUAACGGCUUACCAAGGCAACGAUGCGUAGCCGACCUGAGAGGGUGAUCGGCCACACCGGAACUGAGACCCGGUCCAGACUCCUACGGGAGGCAGCAGUAGGGAAUCUUCCGCAAUGGGCGAAAGCCUGACGGAGCAACGCCGCGUGAGUGAUGAAGGUCUUCGGAUCGUAAAACUCUGUUAUUAGGGAAGAACAAAUGUGUAAGUAACUAUGCACGUCUUGACGGUACCUAAUCAGAAAGCCACGGCUAACUACGUG
rnacentral:rRNA from 1 species